rnacentral:rRNA from 1 species
UACGGAGGGGGCUAGCGUUGUUCGGAAUUACUGGGCGUAAAGCGCGCGUAGGCGGACUGUUAAGUCGGGGGUGAAAUCCCGGGGCUCAACCCCGGAAUGGCCUUCGAUACUGGCAGUCUGGAGGACGGAAGAGGUCAGUGGAAUGGCGAGUGUAGAGGUGAAAUUCGUAGAUAUUCGCCGGAACACCAGUGGCGAAGGCGACUGACUGGUCCGUUUCUGACGCUGAGGCGCGAAAGCGUGGGGAGCAAACAGG